UUUGUUGUGUGGACAAUAAUGGCGGCGGAAGGCACAGACGACUUGAGCAACAACGGGCAUCUGACAAACCCUUCAGGGUUGUAUGAUCCUGAGGUUGCAGAACUUCCCAAGUCAGAUGUUGUUGGGUCAGAGGAGAGUGGUGAUGGGGGAGACACGAGCGCCCCAACAGCAUCCUACACGGCAGAAGGAGAGGAGGAGGAAGAGGGAGAGUUACCAGCAGACUUCGAGAGACUUUGGAAACUGACCAGUGACAAUCCUCUGGAUUUCAACAGCUGGACUGAUCUUCUGCAGUAUUGUGAACAAGAGGGCCACAUGAGGGCUUGUCGUCAAUCCCUGAAUGCAUUUCUGGCGAGGUACCCUCUGUGUUACGGUUAUUGGAAAAAAUUUGCAGAUCUCGAGAGACGAGCCGGUCACAACAACAAAGCUGAAAAGGUGUGUGAACAAGGUUUGAAGGCCAUCCCUCUCAGUGUUGAUCUCUGGAUUCAUUAUGUCAAUCUGCUGCUGGGAACGCUCAACAUGAACCUGCCUGAGUCAGCACAGCGCAUCCGCUGUGUGUUUGAGGAGGCAGUGGCAGCCGCUGGCUGGGACUUCCAUUCAGACAGGCUGUGGGAUCUGUAUGCCGAGUGGGAGAAGGAGCAGGGAAACCUAAAGGCCAUGACAGUGGUCUAUGACCGAGUACUGCGGGUCCCCACACAGUUUUACAACAUGCACUAUGAAAAACUAAAAACACACUUAACUUCCCACCCGCCGCAUGACGUCCUGUCCCCAGAGGAGUACAGGAAGGUGAGGGCUGAGUACAAACAGAGCCAAAUUCAGGCCAAAAAAGAGAGAACUGAUAUCGCUGCAGAUGAAGAGGAGAGACCGCCAGGGGAGGAAGAGCCUGCAGACAACGGAAAGGACUCGGAAGAGGCAGUACAGAAGAUGCAGGAGCUUCUGUUGGCCAGCAGAGAGGAAGUGUACCAGCAAAAUGAGGCAGAAGUCAGGAAGAGAUGGAACUUUGAGGAUGCUAUUAAAAGGCCGUAUUUCCAUGUGAAGCCUCUGGACAGAGCCCAGCUGAAAGCCUGGCAGAGUUAUCUGGACUGGGAGAUGGCAGAGGCUGAGACGGCAGAGAUGGAUGUCGAAAGGACGUCUGUGGAAGGCCAGGAAAGCUCCAAAAAAGUGUGUGUGGCUGGACAUGAGAGAGUACUGAUUCUGUUUGAGCGCUGUCUCAUUGCCUGCGCACUCUAUGAGGAAUUCUGGGAUAAAUAUGUGCAUUACCUGGAACCACGGUGUCUGGAGGAAGUGCGUAACGUGUACCGCAGAGCUUGUGAAAUCCAUCUUCCAUACAAACACAGCAUCCAUCUUCAGUGGUCCUCGUUCGAAGAAAAGCAUGGUAAUAUUUUAGAGGCACAGCGCAUUCUAGAGUCUCUGGAGAUGACAUUGCCUGGUUUGGCUGCGGUGCGUUUGAGGAGGAUAAGUCAGCAGAGGAGGGCAGGUCGUCUUGAUGUGGCAGAAUCGCUACUGAAGGAGGCACUAGAACAGAGUAAAGACAAUCCCUCACUUCAUGCCUUCUACUCGAUCAAACUUUCCCGCUUCCUUCUCAAGCUGUGCAAGAACCCAGCCAGGGCCCGCACUGUUCUACAGGAGGCCAUAGAGCUCAGUCCGGAUAACAGUAGGUUGUAUCAGAACCUUCUGGAUCUGGAGAUGUCAGGUGACCUGCGUGCUAAUGGUGGAGGGGUCCAGCAGUGUGUGGCUAAAGCUCUUGCUGCUCCUCUCUCCCCAAAGACCAAAAUCCUUUUCUCCCAACGUGGCCUACAGUACGCUGAGGAUUUUGGGACUACAGUACAAAGUGUGUUGAGUAUGUAUGACGAGCACCAAAAGCUGCUAAAGGAGCACGAUGGAAAGAGAGGAGCAGAGAACGGUGAUAGUGACGAUCCAGAGAAGAUGAGUAAAAUGGAUGAUGGAUCUGCCAUGACGGUGCCUCCACAGACCGCUCCACCCACUAUGCCUCACGUUCCCAUUACAACACCACCUCCUCCUAUGAUGGGUGGAGACAUGAGUGGAUCGUAUGGAAGUUAUGGGAGCUGGUACCAGCAGCAGUACGGGGCGUACGGCAGCUACCAGAACCCUUGGAAUCAGUACAAUCAGUACAAUCAGUACUACCCUCACAGCUAAACCUGUUCAGAGACUGAGGUCUGGAGUAUUGCUUCAUAUGAUCCACUCAAACAUCCUCAGUCUUCCCAAAUCAACAUAGGAAAGCGUCUAACUAUGAGCCAGUAUGCGGGGCAUCAAAACAAUGAGGGACAUGACUAUAAUCAAAGUCUUUCUAGCAAGUCAGUCCACUGGCGGCCAUCUUUGGAACGCCCUCGGGAGACUAUUUCCAGUCAUGCCAGUGCAGCUUCUAUCUACUUGAAUGGGGGAACACCGAAAUCUCAAAAACGGUUGGUGAAGAUUACGAUCAAAGAACAUAUUUAAAAUCAGCAAUAAAAUGUGAUAAUAUUGGAAUCAUAAAUUGUGCUGCUUUACCUAAUAUUACGCUAAAAACAUGCAAUUUUCCCGGCUUGUAUAGCUAAUGCGCAUACGCGUUAGCGAGUUGAUUAACAGGCGAUGUCUGUAUCUAAAAGGUGAUUGGCUCUUUUACCUGUAAAGCACGACUUCCUUUCUACAUCAGUUGGGCAUUAGAGCUUCAUGGUUGGGCUUUUCAAUUUCUCCCAUUCAUUUAAAUAGAAGUGGCCCGUCUCUGCUAUGAUUCAGAACAUAAAAUUGGCAUUGCACAGGCUCUUACCAGCUCAUAGAUAUCAGUGAAUAUUUGAAGAUUUUAAAGGUGCUGUAAGUGAUUUUAGAGUUCUGAAGUGUUCACGUGACUGAGCCAUUGAAUUAGCUGGGCCCCUCAUUGCAAAACCCCGCCCUCCAAAGAUAAUUUUGAGACCAAAACUGAGCAAAAGAGCAGCAUUGUUUGUUCUUGUGGCUGUCAAAUUCAGCAGUGUCACAAUAAUACCCGAGCAAAAUGACUGACAGGUGAAAAGCGUCAAUGUCCCCGGAAACUUUUUUGUUUGCUGUUUACAAAGUCUACAGCUGUCACAGAGACCAGUGAGAUAUCUCAGGACACUUAUUUCAUUAAUAUCUUUAAGGGAGUAGGAACAUUUUAUGCAUACCUUUUCAUGAAAAAAAUUGCUUACAGCUACUUUAAUGUCACUAGGCCUCAUUUAUGAAACUCGAACAGAACUAAUUUUUGUUUAAAUCAUUUGUCAAACAAUUCUUAUAUAAAUAAUCACAUUGAAAUGAAAA